rnacentral:rRNA from 13 species
ACAAGUGACUAAGUGCACAUGGUGGAUGCCUUGGCGAUAUCAGGCGAUGAAGGACGUAGUAGCUUGCGAUAAGCUGCGGGGAGUGAGCAAACACACUUUGAUCCGCAGAUUUCCGAAUGGGGAAACCCGGCCGUAAGGUCAUUGCACACUGAAUACAUAGGUGUGCAAAGCGAACGUGGCGAACUGAAACAUCUAAGUAGCUACAGGAAAAGAAAUCAACCGAGAUU